GACGAACGCUGGCGGCGUGCCUAAUACAUGCAAGUCGAACGCAGUGGGGACGGGCGAGUAACACGUGGGUAACCUCCCAUCAGAGGGGAUAACACUUGGAAACAGGUGUUAAACCUAUACUGAUGGAUGGACCCGCGGUGCAUGAGCUAGGUGGUGGGGGAACGGCUCACCAAGGACAGGUUGCAUAGCCGACCACGGAGGGUGAUCGUCCACCCGGGGACGGAGUCACUGCCCAGACUCCUACGGUGGGAAGCAGUAGUGAAUCUUCGUCAAUGGACGCAAGUCUGACCGAGCAACGCCGCGUAAGUGAAGAAGGUUUUCGGAUCUUAAACCUCUGUUGUUAGGUCAGCGGUAUCUAUCCUGAAAGCCACGGCUAACUACGUGCCAGCAGCCGCGGUAAUAC
rnacentral:rRNA from 1 species